GGGAGUAUAGCUCAGUGGUAGAGCAUUCGACUGCAGCUCGAAAGGUCCCCUUCAAACCCGGGUUUCCUCU
rnacentral:tRNA from 1 species